rnacentral:rRNA from 1 species
CCUACGGGAGGCAGCAGUGGGGAAUAUUGGACAAUGGGCGCAAGCCUGAUCCAGCCAUGCCGCGUGAGUGAUGACGGCCUUAGGGUUGUAAAGCUCUUUUACCUGGGAAGCGGUACCAGGAGAAUAAGCCCCGGCUAACUUCGUGCCAGCAGCCGCGGUAAUACGAAGGGGGCUAGCGUUGUUCGGAUUUACUGGGCGUAAAGGGUGCGUAGGCGGACUGAUAAGUCAGGGGUGAAAUCCCAAGGCUCAACCUUGGAACUGCCUUUGAUACUGUUAGUCUUGAGUUCGAGAGAGGUGAGUGGAACUGCGAGUGUAGAGGUGAAAUUCGUAGAUAUUCGCAAGAACACCAGUGGCGAAGGCGGCUCACUGGCUCGAACUGACGCUGAGGCACGAAAGCGUGGGGAGCAAACAGGAUUAGAUACCCUUGUAGUC